UACGGAGGGUGCAAGCGUUAUCCGGAUUCACUGGGUUUAAAGGGUGCGUAGGUGGGCAGGUAAGUCAGCGGUGAAAUCCCCGAGCUUAACUUGGGAACUGCCAUUGAUACUAUCUGUCUUGAAUACCUUGGAGGUGAGCGGAAUAUGUCAUGUAGCGGUGAAAUGCUUAGAUAUGACAUAGAACACCAAUUGCGAAGGCGGCUCACUACACGGUCAUUGACACUGAGGCACGAAAGCGUGGGGAUCAAACAGG
rnacentral:rRNA from 1 species